rnacentral:rRNA from 1 species
GACGAACGCUGGCGGCGUGCCUAAUACAUGCGAGUUGAGCGCUGAAGGUUGGUACUUGUACCGACUGGAUGAGCAGCGAACGGGUGAGUAACGCGUGGGGAAUCUGCCUUUGAGCGGGGGACAACAUUUGGAAACGAAUGCUAAUACCGCAUAAAAACUUUAAACACAAGUUUUAAGUUUGAAAGAUGCAAUUGCAUCACUCAAAGAUGAUCCCGCGUUGUAUUAGCUAGUUGGUGAGGUAAAGGCUCACCAAGGCGAUGAUACAUAGCCGACCUGAGAGGGUGGUCGGCCACAUUGGGACUGAGACACGGCCCAAACUCCUACGGGAGGCAGCAGUAGGGAAUCUUCGGCAAUGGACGAAAGUCUGACCGAGCAACGCCGCGUGAGUGAAGAAGGUUUUCGGAUCGUAAAACUCUGUUGGUAGAGAAGAACGUUGGUGAGAGUGGAAAGCUCAUCAAGUGACGGUAACUACCCAGAAAGGGACGGCUAACUACGUG